GCUUCCCAAGCUUUGUAUGUGAGGAGAGUUGAACAUAGAUCAGCAAGAGGAACAGACAACUGGCGAUGGAAUAAAUUCCUAAUUCGCUGGACCUGCUUCUCUCUUGAAUCGGCAUCAGUUUCAUCAAUAGUGAGGAAAAUAGCUUGUUCAAACUCCCUGUAUAAUUCCCAUAUCCUGCUGCCUUCAGUAACAUGCAAACCAGCAGCAACAAGGGCACGCUCAAACAGAUUUCUUGCCUUUGAAAUUCCAGCUGCAGAAAGUGUACGGACUGAUUGGUCGUGCUCUUGAACAAAACUCAAGUAGUCACACCACAAUGCAACAGACAGAUAGUCGGACACCCCACAAUCAAAUAGCUUCUCAAUUGUAGGGAGAGCAUCAAGUCCUGAAUUAAGAGAGAUCUCGUCUUUUGUCCACUCCUGCCACAUCUCUGAACUCAAAGGAAAAAUAGCACUCAUGGCUUCCCUUGCUUGUCUAAGUUUCUCGAUAUCUCCUUGCUUCCUUGAAGCUUUUAUGUAUUGAACAUGAGUGUCGUAAUUGGAAGGAUUAUUUAAGAGCUCAGUUUCAAGAGCUUGAAUUUGUGUAUUCUGCUGUGCAUCAUCUUCUGAAUCGGAGUCGGAGUCGGACUGAGAAUCGGAAUCUGAAUCUUUAGCGGAUUUGUCGGCGUCGAGCAUAUCUUGGUCUUCGUUACCGGUAGGAUUGUCGUCGGAAAGUUG
rnacentral:misc_RNA from 1 species